rnacentral:rRNA from 1 species
UACACUCCUACGGGAGGCAGCAGUGAGGAAUAUUGGACAAUGGGUGGAAGCCUGAUCCAGCCAUCCCGCGUGCAGGAAGACGGCCCUAUGGGUUGUAAACUGCUUUUAUCUGGGGAUAAACCUACUUACGUGUAAGUAGCUGAAGGUACCAGAAGAAUAAGCACCGGCUAACUCCGUGCCAGCAGCCGCGGUAAUACGGAGGGUGCAAGCGUUAUCCGGAUUUAUUGGGUUUAAAGGGUCCGUAGGCGGACUGAUAAGUCAGUGGUGAAAUCCGACAGCUUAACUGUCGAACUGCCAUUGAUACUGUUAGUCUUGAGUAAGGUUGAAGUGGCUGGAAUAAGUAGUGUAGCGGUGAAAUGCAUAGAUAUUACUUAGAACACCAAUUGCGAAGGCAGGUCACUAAGUCUUAACUGACGCUGAUGGACGAAAGCGUGGGGAGCGAACAGGAUUAGAAACCCUUGUAGUCCCAUG